UGCGAGCAACGCAAGGCUGGAGGGCAUUAGACUUUUUAGUUUUUUGAGGGUCUUGACGUGAGAGCGACGCAUGGGCUGAGGGCGUUAGAGUUUUUAGUUUUUUGAGAGGACUUGACAUGCGAGCGACGCAGGGUCUGAGGGCGUUAGACUUUUUAGUUUUUUGAGGGACUUGACGUGCGAGCGACGCAAGGGCUGAGGGCGGUGGACUUUUUGUUUUUAAAGGACUUGACGUGCGAGCGACGCAAGGGCUGAGGGCGGUGGACUUUUUGUUUUUAAAGGACUUGACGUGCGAGCGACGCAAGGGCUGAGGGCGGUGGACUUUUUGUUUUUAAAGGACUUGACGUGCGAGCGACGCAAGGGCUGAGGGCGGUGGACUUUUUGUUUUUAAAGGACUUGACGUGCGAGCGACGCAAGGGCUGAGGGCGGUGGACUUUUUGUUUUUAAAGGACUUGACGUGCGAGCGAAGCAAUGGCUGAGACCUUUUUGUUUUUUGAGGGACUUGACGUGCGAGCGACGCAUGGGCUGAGGGGGUUGGACUUUUUAGUUUUUUGAAGGACUUGACGUGCGAGCGACGCAUGGGCUGUGGGUUGUGGCCUUUUUGUUUUUUUGAGGGACUUGACGUGCGAGCGACGCAAGGGCUGAGGGCGGUGGACUUUUUGUUUUUUAAAGGACUUGACGUGCGAGCGACGCAAUGGCUGAGACCUUUUUGUUUUUUGAGGGACUUGACGUGCGAGCGACGCAGGGGUUGAGGGCGGUGGACUUUUUAGCUUUUUGAGGGACUUGACAUGCGAGCGACGCAAGGGCUGAAGGCGUUAGAGUUUUUAGUUUUUUGAGGGACUUGACGUGCGAGUAACGCAAGGGCUGAGGGCGGUGGACAUUUUAGUUUUUUUUUGAGGGACUUGACGUGAGAGCGACACAUGGGCUGAGGGCGUUAGACUUUUUAGUUUUUUGAAGGACUUGACGUGCGAGCGACGCAGGAGCUGAGGGACGGUGGCUUUUGUUUUUUGAGGGGCUUGACGUGCGAGCGACGCA
rnacentral:lncRNA from 1 species